CGAAGCAGUCCUCAAAUAAUAUUAUUAUAAUACUAAUAAAAGGUGUCUUUACAAUAAUAUUACAAACCAAAAUACGAAAACUAAGAAGGAAAAAAUAAUAACUAUCAAGAAUACAUAAUUAAUUAAAUAUCCCGGCGACUCUUCGGGACUUGCCCUUUCUAAUAAUACCUGUUGAACAUAAUAAUAAAAAAAUAAGCACGGGACAAAUACACACAUAGACAGGCAUAUUGAAACAAUCGAACACAGCACAACACGCAAGCAUCAAGUGAUUAUUUCAAACUAGUCCUAUCGACAUACUUUUUCUAAUAUGUAAGUACAUCGACAAGGGACUUACCGGCAAGCAGCAAUAAAGUAGAAAUAGAAAGAAAGCCCAACACAGCAAAAUAUGCAAGAUGUUUUUCGUAUACAUCGAAGGAAAAGCUCGAGAACUCUUGAAAGUAUGUAAUUGCCUAUUGUAUUUAAAAGACUGAUGCUUUGUUUAAGAGAGUAGUAGUGGUAAUUGUAAUUGUAAAACUUGUCUCUUAAUGAAAAGGUAGGGAGUUAAUAGUAGAGGGAGUAUUGUUGUAUAAAAGAAAAAAUAUAUUUAGAGAACCAAUUUCGGGAAUUAAAGGGAGAAAAAAUUAUCUGUCAAGAAUCAAUGGAGGGAAGGGAAAUUAAUUUGUUGCUAUAUUUUCCAUAAGGGAACAAGUUAAAAUAUGGUAACUCCAUAAUCCAGGCAGCAGUAUCGAAUAAACGUUUAUAGAAAUUUAAUGAAUGAUUUAAUCAAUUAUCUACUUACCAUAAAUAAGCAUUGAGUCAAUCAGUCAUGACUCUCAAUUAAGGAUAGUACGUAAAUCAAUCAACUGUAAAUUCUCAAUUACGCACAGUCAAGAAUUUUAAAUCCGCCACAAAAGAAAAAAAAUAGUACCACAAUUACAAUAAAGCAAUUACAAAAUCAUAAAAACAUGCCGAAAUAGACCAUAAAUAGAGAGGUAUCAAAUCUGUUGCAAUUAAUCAAGAGGUUAGCAAACAAAUAAUCUACAGUGAUUAGUAAUAAGCAUCUUGUUAGAAAAUUAAAAUCAAGUCACAAAAAAAAGUUGGGAUUUUCUUACACUUGUUAACUAAGAGGCAUAAAAAAUGUCAAGUUGCAAGAAAUUAGGUGUUUUCACAUAUAACAGACCCAGAAAUGAACAUGAACAAAUAAUUACAUGAAUUGAAUCACAAUCCGAAGUUAAAUGUCACAAAAAUUUAAUUUAAACAAACAAACAUGGAAUUUGUGUUCAGGGAGAUCAAACCGGAUAAUAGUUGAAUUGGGGGUGGUGCGUCACUGGUUCGUCAUCGUUGGUGUUUCUCGACUUUUGGAGGUGAAGGUCGGAUCUGAGCGAGGGAGGGCCGGUCAUCGCUGGGGCUGGUUCAUGGAGGGAGUGGGGUCUCAUAGUGGCGUGGAGCGGCGCUGGCAUGCUAGUGCUGUUGUCAUUGAUGGGGGGCUACUGGUGGCGUUAAAGAAGAGGGAGGCGAGCUGAUCGGCGUGAAUGGAGGGGGGUCAGAGGACCAUGGCUGGGACUAGCCUUCAUUGGUGGUGCUGAUUUUAGAGAGGGGAGAGAGGAGAAGGGGUUUCACCGGUGACGGAAAGAGAGGCAGCGGUAGGAGAGUUUUGAGAGAGAGAAAGUAGAGGGGGAGUGUA
rnacentral:lncRNA from 1 species